CAGCAGCCACGGGAAUACGAAGGGGGCUAGCGUUGCUCGGAAUGACUGGGCGUAAAGGGCGCGUAGGCGGAUUGCGCAGUCAGAUGUGAAAUUCCUGGGCUUAACCUGGGGGCUGCAUUUGAGACGCGUAGUCUAGAGUGUGAAAGAGGGUCGUGGAAUUCCCAGUGUAGAGGUGAAAUUCGUAGAUAUUCGGAAGAACACCAGUGGCGAAGGCGGCUCACUGGCUCAUACUGGACGCUGAGGUGCGAAAGCGUGGGGAGCAAACAGGAUUAGAUACCCCCGUAGUCCCUGUCUCUUAUAC
rnacentral:rRNA from 1 species